rnacentral:rRNA from 1 species
UACGUAGGGGGCGAGCGUUGUCCGGAUUUAUUUGGGCGUAAAGAGCUCGUAGGCGGCUUGUCGCGUCGUCCGUGAAAACCCACAGCUCAAACUGUGGGCUUGCGGUCGAUACGGGCAGGCUAGAGUUCGGUAGGGGAGACUGGAAUUCCUGGUGUGAGCGGUGGAAAUGCGCAGAUAUCAGGAGGAACACCGGUGGCGAAAGGCGGG